UUUCUAAUACAUGAACUGUAUAAAUAUGAAAAUUUAGGGUUUAUAUAGGUUCUCAUGUUCCUUUUUGUUCAACUUUUAGACUUCCUUUCAACUGUGCUUUUGUGUUCAUUUCCAUUCCCUUUAAUCUGUAAGUUUAUUGAAAUCAUGAUCUUUCCAUAUAAACAUUGUUUUCUUAGCUUGAAUAUAUCUUUUUGUGUGUGUGUAUUAUUUAGUUGCUCCAAGUUCUGAUGCUUUAUUUUUGUGGCAAUGUGUCCCAUUUACACUGACUGACAUCCUUCUGCACUUAGAAUUUGUGGUGAAAUAUUUCUCUAUCAAUAGCCUUAUCUUUUGUGUAAGAGUGGGGCAGGAAAUGACCUCAAUAAUUUUGAAAGGUUAAAUCAUUCACAUAAUGCUUCUGAGAAGUCUGUGUACCUAUUCUCUACUCUUUUCCUUAAGAACAAAAGAAUGGGAUUUGAUAUAAUUUCUAUCUUAAAACUUUGGUUUUAGAAUGGUGGUCACAAGUUGGUUUCUCCAUUUUUGCAAGUAUGUGUAGUAUACUUCUUCUAUAUAUUAAUUUGGUGAUUUCAUUUCGUUUCUCAGUUCUUCAGGUUCACGGUGG
rnacentral:lncRNA from 1 species